UCCCAGGUGGCUCAGUGGCAAAGAAUCUGCCUGCCAAGCAGUAGACAUGGUUUCAAUCCCAUUCCUGGGUU
rnacentral:tRNA from 1 species